ACAAACAAUAGAGGUUGCGAGAGUCACAGAAUUCAGGGAGUGUCCAAACACGUUGAACUGAAACUCUAGGAUGAUCGCCGAAAUCAACUUAUUUUUGGAAGUAGGUUGGUUGGGACAAGUGUGAAUAAUGCUUGGACUGUCCUAACGAAUUCGUUAGGGAGCGCUAUGAUUUUG
rnacentral:ncRNA from 2 species